rnacentral:rRNA from 1 species
GACGAACGCUGGCGGCGUGCUUAACACAUGCAAGUCGAACGGACAGGCCCUGCUUUUGUGGCGUGCUCGAGUGGCGAACGGGUGAGUAACACGUGAGUAACCUCCCCUUGUCUUUGGGAUAACUUCAGGAAACUCGGGCUAUUACCGGAUAGGAUCUCCUGCUGCAUGGUGGGCGUUGGAAAGUUUCGGCGGUUGGGGAUGUACUCGCGGCUUAUCAGCUUGUUGGUGUGGUAGUUGAAUACCAAGGCUGUGACGGAUAGCCGGCAUGAGAGGGGAGCCGGGGACAAGGGGACUACGAGACGGCGCAGAAGGGUACGGGAGGCAGUGGGCGGGAGUAUGACACAACGGGCGGGAGCCUGAGGCAGAGGUGCUCGGUGCGGGAUGACCGGCUACGGGUGGAAAACCGCUUUCGACGGUGACGAAGAGUGAGUGACGGUAAUGGGUAAAGAAGCACCGGCUAACUACGUG